rnacentral:misc_RNA from 1 species
AAAUGGAAGAGGAAUACGGGGUGACGAGCUGUGAGCAAGAUCUAAAGGACAGAAGUAUCUUUUUGUCCUACUCAAUGACUAUUCUUCUCUAUGCGCAUGACCAAGUUCCACCAAUCAAAAUUUCAGAUUUUAGAACAACACAUGAUCGUAAUAUUUUCAUCAAUUUUCACAGUUUUUUGUGAUUUGUUGUUUUCUGUGUACGAGAUCGUUAAUUUUAAAUGUAAAAUGGUUCGAUAUUGUGUUUUAUGUGGUAAUCGUGACAAAACAGUAUCUUAUCACAAAUUUCCAAAUAAUGUGCAAAUAAGACCAGAAUGGCUAAAAUUUUGUAAUUUUGAUGAAGUUGUUCUCAAAACUUCCACUUUUUUAUGCUCAAAUCACUUCACAGAAAAAGAUUAUCUUCUCACAACAAAAAAUAAAGUUUUAAAAAAUAGAAGCAUACCAUCUAUUUACUAUAUCAAAAGUAGAAAAAGAUAUGUACAUGAAAAGACAAACUGUAUUAUGUAAAACAAAUUAUUUGAUUUAGUUAUAUAUAUAAAACAUAAUUUUAGGAGCUAUAAUGAUAAAGAUUGCAAACAUGAGGAAAUUGAUAUAAAACGGAACAAAAUGGUAAAUAUCUGUGAAGAGGAAGCAUAUACUUCAAUUCAACAUAUAGCUGAUGAAAAUUUGAAUGAACUAAUUCCAGAUGAAGAAGAAAUUCAUCACAGUACCAUUGAUGUAGUUUCAUUGAUAAAUGUAACUCCUCCAAACUCUCCACGUUAUAAUGAACCACGUUAUAUUGGUGAUAUUAAGACACCACAUUUAGCUACACCACGAAGAGCUAAGAGAGCUUUUAAUUUAGCAAAGCUGGUAGUAAA